CGGAUCGGAGUCUGCAACCCGACUCCGUGAAGCUGGAUUCGCUAGUAAUCGCGCAUCAGCCAUGGCGCGGUGAAUACGUUCCCGGGCCUUGUACACACCGCCCGUCAAGCCAUGGGAGCCGGGAGCGCUUGAAGUGCGUCGCCGCGAGGCGCGCCCUAGAGCGAGACCGGUGACUGGGGCUAAGUCGUAACAAGGUAUC
rnacentral:rRNA from 1 species